CGUACAUGCGCCGAACGUUGUUGAAAGUGAUUGACAACAUGAAUUGCAUGUUGUUAAACAUGUUUUUUCUUGUAGUCAGUGGCGGAGCCACAUUGGGGCACAUUGGGUCCCGUGCUCCAGUAAACUUUCGAAUAUAUAUAAUUAAGUUACCAGCUAGCAUAGAUGGCUGGGAUGGCUGGGAUAGUGCAGUGGUCUGCCAUGCUAUAGCUACGUCACAAGUCCUGGGUUCGAAUCAGGCUAACUUCAGAAUUUUUUGUUUAGAUUUUUUCCAUGGUUUAAUUCUAGCUUGCAGCACUAAUUAACGGCGCACAUCUCAUGUGUGCCGUCAGAAUGUCUUUAUUCCAAUAAUUUACGGCGUGCAUUUCAUGUGUGUCGUAAAUUUAGUUAUUUAUUUACAGCGUGCACAAUAUGUGUGUCGUAAAUGAGUUAUUUUACUAUUAUUUUACAGCUUACAUUUCUAGUAUUAACUUUUUCUGAUCGAAGUAUUAAAUCACCCCUCCUCUCUCUCUCUCUCUCUCGAUAACAAAAGAAUCGCAGCCCUAGAAAUCGAUGAGAUUCAAUUGGAGACUCUAAAAUGAAUCCCUCGCUGUCUUCUUCCUCUCCAUCUUCUACUUCUUCAGCUUUCGCCGGUUCCUGGUUCUCCGGCGUUGUCCGGGGUCGGUCUGACCGUGCCGGCUCCGUCGUGCGGAAGAAUCAGUUCCGAGGGGCGCUCUUCAAGUACGGCCCCAAACCAAUUCAGGUUAGGUUGAAUCAAAGAUCGUACAUAUGUGGUUUAAUUUCAGUCGGAAAUGGAUUUCGAGACCUUGAUCUUUGCUUGUGAAUCUGUGAUUGUGAUAUGCAAAUAUGCAAUGUUUAUGUGUAGACUAAGAUUUGAAUUUGGUAAAUGAAUUGGUGUUGAGCAUUUGGUUUUGGUUACCGAUUAUUGGUUAUGAAAUGCUGGAACUUGCGUGUGAAGGUUAACCUAGUUUUCGGUAUCAUAUAAGGUAUAUCUAGAUUUAGUUCAGUGGAAACUGUGAGACUAUAGCAAUUUGGGAUUGAUAGGGUUUUGAAAGAGUAGAAGUCAAUUCGUGUGUUGGAAGGUUCAAUGUUUAGCUAUUUAUUUCAUUCAAUGAAGAGCAAUGUUUAUGGUUACGGUAAUGUGGGAAGGUUUAGGGCUUAAGGCCAACAUUCAAUUGGAACUUGUAGUUAAUUGAGGAAAUUUAAGCUGAAAAUUCAUUUUCAAGUUGAAGUUGUUUUUGAGUGUGAUGAAAUUCAUGUAUGUGGUUAUGUUAGGAGAGACAUGUAAUGAUUUGGGAGUAGUUAGUUCAUCAAUGGGGGAUAAAGUAAGCAUUUGGUAUGGUUAGAGUUUCCAGCCUAAGAAAUGGUUAGAGUUUUGGAGGAAGGUUCAUGUAUGCUGAAGUUCAUGAACCUUACAUAAUUAUAAGCAUUGGUAUUUUAACCAAAUGUUACAAGUAGUUGGAUGCCAUUUUUAUGUCACAUGAAUAUGUUUUUAUAGCUUUAAUAAGUUUUGCAUUCAAUUUGUCUUUUAUAGUUUCUCUGCACUUUCUAGUCCCACCAAUUCCGAAUACUGAGAGGUAUAUUUCCUUUUGUAGUAUGCAAGUAUGAGGAUAUCAGAAGAAGAAAGAGCAAGUAGUGAAGUAUAUUAUUGAGGAGGAGGUGAUAGAAGCUGCUAGGCUACAUGGAGCAGCAGCUUGAGAAAAUUCUUGAUAUUGUGAUGUCCAAGUGCAGGGCUUAACAAUUGUUACUCAUGUAAUUAAAUAAGGUGGUAAAUUUAUUGCGAAGAUAUUCCAUGGAAAAGAUACUAGUCUUCUUUAUUGUCAGCUGAAAGUAUUUUUCCCGAUUGUGACUUUUACAAAAUCAAAAAGCAGCCGCAAUUCCAGCAUAGGCUCUAUGAUGUACGACUUCUUUAUGGGAAAUGGUUGGAUGUGGCAUCAUAUCAAGCUAUCAUCAGCCCCUUCAAGUACUCAUGUAAUCAAUCUGAAGACAAUUCUAAUCUAGCUAGCAUGUUCUAUAUUUGAAAACCAGUUUAACUGUACUAUGAUUUUGUAAUAUGAAGUUACUUAAUUGAUAUAAUUUACUACAUGAAUGCUUUUGUUAACUAUGCUUGAAUGAAAGGGUUUAAUUGAAAGUAUUGUCUAUUAGAAGAGUGAAUGAAGACAUCUUUUACGACACGCGAAAUGGUAUUUUACGACACCCAAAAGGGCUUUUUAAGACACGCAAAAUGGUCUUUUACGGCACACAAUUAAAGUUGUAAAAUAUCUUUCAUGGCGCGCAAAAGAGUGUUUUACGACGCGCAAAAAAUGUUUUUUACGGCGCACAUUUUGUGUGCCACAAGAGAAAUUUGUCUUUUACGACACGCUUCUUUGUGCCGUAAAGUUAUU